AGAUAGGCAAGGUUUGGCCUGGUUAGUACUUGGAUGGGAAACAUCCUGGGAAUACCAGGUGCUGUAAGUG
rnacentral:rRNA from 1 species